AAUGUCCUGCGAUGUUAGUGAUCGCCUUAUAGUUUUGAGCCAACACUUUUUAUGCGGGAGCUUGAGUCAUCUAUGUGAGCAAACGCCGUUAUUAAAGCGGACUUGUAAACCUAGGUGCAGGGCACCCACCUGCGAGAGCAGGUUCAAAACUUGAGGUGCACGGCAUAAUGGGACUUUG
rnacentral:other from 1 species